GUGAGGAAUUUUCCGCAAUGGGCGAAAGCCUGACGGAGCAAUGCCGCGUGAAGGAUGAAGGCCUAUGGGUUGUAAACUUCUUUUCUCAGAAAAGAAUUAUGACGGUAUCUGAGGAAUAAGCAUCGGCUAACUCUGUGCCAGCAGCCGCGGUAAGACAGAGGAUGCAAGCGUUAUCCGGAAUGAUUGGGCGUAAAGCGUCUGUAGGUUGUUUAAAAAGUAUUCUGUCAAAGAUUAGGGCUUAACCCUAGAUAGGCAGAAUAAACUUUUAAGCUAGAGUUUUGUAGAGGCAGAGGGAAUUCCCGGUGGAGCGGUGAAAUGCGUAGAUAUCGGGAGGAACACCAAAGGCGAAGGCACUCUGCUGGGCCAAUACUAACACUGAGAGACGAAAGCGAGGGGAGCAAAUGGGAUUAGAAACCCUAGUAGUCC
rnacentral:rRNA from 1 species